AGUAACGCGUGGGUAACCUGCCUUAUACAGGGGAGUAACAGUUAGAAAUGACUGCUAAUACCGCAUAAGCGCACAGGAUUGCAUGAUCUGGUGUGAAAAACUCCGGUGGUAUAAGAUGGACCCGCGUCUGAUUAGCUGGUUGGUGAGGUAACGGCCCACCAAGGCGACGAUCAGUAGCCGACCUGAGAGGGUGACCGGCCACAUUGGGACUGAGACACGGCCCAAACUCCUACGGGAGGCAGCAUG
rnacentral:rRNA from 1 species